rnacentral:rRNA from 1 species
AUUGAACGCUGGCGGAAUGCUUUACACAUGCAAGUCGAACGGCAGCACGGACUUCGGUCUGGUGGCGAGUGGCGAACGGGUGAGUAAUGUAUCGGAACGUGCCCAGUCGUGGGGGAUAACGUAGUGAAAAUUACGCUAAUACCGCAUACGAUCUAUGGAUGAAAGCGGGGGAUCGCAAGACCUCGCGCGAUUGGAGCGGCCGAUAUCAGAUUAGGUAGUUGGUGGGGUAAAGGCCCACCAAGCCAACGAUCUGUAGCUGGUCUGAGAGGACGACCAGCCAAACUGGAACUGAGACACGGUCCAGACUCCUACGGGAGGCAGCAGUGGGGAAUUUUGGACAAUGGGCGAAAGCCUGAUCCAGCCAUUCCGCGUGCAGGAUGAAGGCCCUCGGGUUGUAAACUGCUUUUGUACAGAACGAAAAGGUUUCUACUAAUACUAGGAGCUCAUGACGGUACUGUAAGAAUAGGCACCGGCUAACUACGUGCCAGCCGCCGCCGUAA